rnacentral:rRNA from 1 species
CUACGGGCCGCUGCAGUGGGGAAUAUUGGACAAUGGGCGCAAGCCUGAUCCAGCAAUACCGCGUGUGUGAAGAAGGCCUGCGGGUUGUAAAGCACUUUCAAUUGUGAAGAAAAGCGAGGGCUUAAUACGCUCUUGUCUUGACGUUAACUUUAGAAGAAGCACCGGCUAACUCUGUGCCAGCAGCCGCGGUAAUACAGAGGGUGCGAGCGGUUAAUCGGAAUUACUGGGCGUAAAGCGUACGUAGGCGGUUUAGUAAGUCAGAUGUGAAAGCCCUGGGCUCAACCUGGGAACUGCAUUUGAAACUGCUAGACUAGAGUGUGGUAGAGGGAAGUGGAAUUCCGGGUGUAGCGGUGAAAUGCGUAGAUAUCCGGAGGAACACCAGUGGCGAAGGCGACUUCCUGGACCAACACUGACGCUGAGGUACGAAAGCGUGGGUAGCAAACAGGAUUAGAUACCCCAGUAGUC